AACGAACGCUGGCGGCAGGCUUAACACAUGCAAGUCGAACGGGUGUAGCAAUACAUCAGUGGCAGACGGGUGAGUAGCACGCGGGAACCUUCCUAGGGGUACGGAACAACUCAGGGAAACUUGAGCUAAUACCGUAUACGUCCGUGAGGAGAAAGAUUUAUCGCCCUUAGACGGGCCCGCGUCGGAUUAGCUAGUUGGUGGGGUAACGGCCUACCAAGGCGACGAUCCGUAGCUGAUCUUAGAGGAUGAUCAGCCACACUGGGACUGAGACACGGCCCAGACUCCUACGGGAGGCAGCAGUGGGGAAUCUUGGACAAUGGGCGCAAGCCUGAUCCAGCCAUGCCGCGUGAGUGAAGAAGGUCUUCGGAUUGUAAAGCUCUUUUGCCAGGGACGAUAAUGACGGUACCUGGAGAAUAAGCCCCGGCAAACUUCGUGCCAGCAGCCGCGGUAAU
rnacentral:rRNA from 1 species